rnacentral:rRNA from 1 species
AACGAACGCUGGCGGCAGGCUUAACACAUGCAAGUCGAGCGGGGAAAGGUAGCUUGCUACUGGACCUAGCGGCGGACGGGUGAGUAAUGCUUAGGAAUCUGCCUAUUAGUGGGGGACAACGUUCCGAAAGGAACGCUAAUACCGCAUACGUCCUACGGGAGAAAGCAGGGGAUCUUCGGACCUUGCGCUAAUAGAUGAGCCUAAGUCGGAUUAGCUAGUUGGUGGGGUAAAGGCCUACCAAGGCGACGAUCUGUAGCGGGUCUGAGAGGAUGAUCCGCCACACUGGGACUGAGACACGGCCCAGACUCCUACGGGAGGCAGCAGUGGGGAAUAUUGGACAAUGGGCGCAAGCCUGAUCCAGCCAUGCCGCGUGUGUGAAGAAGGCCUUUUGGUUGUAAAGCACUUUAAGCGAGGAGGAGGCUCCUUUAGUUAAUACCUAAAGUGAGUGGACGUUACUCGCAGAAUAAGCACCGGCUAACUCUGUGCCAGCAGCCGCCGUAA